GCUGGGCAUGGUAGUGUGCGCCUGUAAUCCCAGCUACUGGGGAGGCUGAGGCAGGAGAAUUGCUUGAGCCCAGGAGGCAGAGGUUGCAGUGAGCCGAGAUCGUGCCACUGCAUUCCAGCCUGGGUGACAGAGUGAGACCCUGUCUCAA
rnacentral:SRP_RNA from 1 species